CAAUUUCUCAUCCAAACUAAAUGUUCUGUUGUUUUAUUUUUAUACCACUUCAUGAUAUUUCCCAUAAAGCUGAUGUUUUGGUUAAUGUGUUUGUGUCAGAGUCAGAGAGCCGUGUCUCUCUACAGUCAGAGGUUUUUGUACGACCACUCAAUGAGUUUGUAUCACUGUGGUGGACUUUUGGUGGAGGAACCAGACUGGAUGUUGGAAGUGAUGCUCGUCCCACCCUGACAGUGCUGCCCCCCUCCAGUGAGGAGCUGCAGCAGGGGAAGGCCACCCUCAUGUGUCUGGCCAACAAGGGUUUCCCCUCAGAUUGGAGUCUGUCCUGGAAGGUGGACGGCAGCAGCAGCAGCAGCUGGGAGGAGAACAAGAGCAGAGGAGUGCUGCAGAAGGACGGCCUCUACAGCUGGAGCAGCACCCUGAGGCUCCCUGCAGACCAGUGGAGGAAGGUGGGCUCUGUGACCUGUGAGGCCACCCAGGGCUCCCAGUCUGCAGUCACAGAGACACUGAGGAGAGACCAGUGUUCCCAGUGACAACCUGAUUUGUUCUUUUUUUUUCUUUUCAG